GAAAAAUGUAUAGUCAAAUUUUAAAUAAUGUAGGCUUAUAAUCCUUUGAUUGUAAAUUAUUUUCCCUACUACGUAAAGCUGGUACAAUAGCAGUACGGUUUUUUAUAUACCGAAAAGCAUUCAGUCAUCAUGGAGUCCAGGAUGAUUUACGAUGUGAUGGUAGAACAAUGCUGGAUUAUCACCCUAUAAUUCUUGAAACUACAUUAGUUUCCAAUGCCAGUGGAUCGGCAAGGCUGAGACUUGCAAACUCAUCAACAUCUGGAAAAUGAAAUUUGCAAAUUCCUACAAAGAUCCUAUGCUUCAGAUUCUUGAAUGUGGAGUGAACCCUUAUGAUGCACUGUCAUUGGCUGAGAAAUCGGCUCUUUAUGCAACCCAAAUUCCAUUAAAAUAGCAACCAUGGACGGAUAUCAACAUGAACUGGAGCUCUCAGAUGAUCCUUAUGAUACCAAGAGACUAAACACAGAGAACAUUCCUAGUGUACUGACUUUGAUGAAGGAGGUGGUGUCCUGGUGGCACGUUGCGAACAUGACGCUGUCACCGUUGGAUCGGCUGGUGAUAACCAAUUUAUCAACAUCAAAGCUCUUAAUGAAUGGGACUCAAGGUUGUCUGGUGAAGUCGAAUGGCGCCAGAAACUGGACACUCAGCGAGGUGCUGUUCAGGCCAACGAGCUGAAUAAUGCAUGCAAGCUAGCAAAAUGGACUGUGCAAGCUCUGCUCGCCAACUCUGAUUGGAUUAAAUUCGGAUAUGUUUCCCGUAUACACAUACGAGAUACAUCGCGUCGUGUAAUCCUUGGAACACAGCAGUUCCACCCGUCAGAUUUCGCAUCACAAAUCAACCUUAACAUCGACAAUGCUUGGGGCAUUCUCCGUUGGAUUAAUGAUUUGUGUAUGAAGGAAGAGGAUGGCAAAUAUUUGUUGGUGAACGAUCCUAACAAGCCCGUCAUCCGCCUUUACAAGGUGCCCGAUAACACGUUUGAGAGCGACGAUGAAGCAUUUUUCGGAGAAGAAGACGAGUAACGGCUGAUACAAACAAAAGAACAGCUCUUCCACCAAUUCCCAAAUCUACAACAAUACUACGUUUGUAAUGAUCGUUACAUGGAAUAAAGCACUUAUGAAGCUUCCAGUUUA
rnacentral:lncRNA from 1 species